rfam:Loxodonta africana unplaced genomic scaffold scaffold_71, whole genome shotgun sequence.
GCAUUGGUGGUUCAGUGGUAGAAUUCUUGCCUUCCAUGCAGGAGACCCAAAUUUGAUUCCCAGCCAACGCA